UACGAAGGGGGCUAGCGUUGCUCGGAAUCACUGGGCGUAAAGCGCACGUAGGCGGAUUGCUAAGUCAGGGGUGAAAUCCUGGAGCUCAACUCCAGAACUGCCCUUGAUACUGGCGGUCUCGAGUCCGGGAGAGGUGAGUGGAACUGCGAGUGUAGAGGUGAAAUUCGUAGAUAUUCGCAAGAACACCAGUGGCGAAGGCAGCCCACUGGCCCGGUACUGACGCUGAGGUGCGAAAGCGUGGGGAGCAAACAGG
rnacentral:rRNA from 1 species